rnacentral:rRNA from 1 species
AUCUCUUGGCUCUGGCAUCGAUGAAGAACGCAGCGAAAUGCGAUAAGUAGUGUGAAUUGCAGAAUUCAGUGAAUCAUCGAAUCUUUGAACGCACAUUGCGCCCCUUGGUAUUCCAUGGGGCAUGCCUGUUCGAGCGUCAUCUACACCCUCAAGCUCUGC